AGAGUUUGAUCCUGGCUCAGGACGAACGCUGGCGGCGUGCCUAAUACAUGCAAGUAGAACGCUGAAGAGAGGAGCUUGCUCUUCUUGGAUGAGUUGCGAACGGGUGAGUAACGCGUAGGUAACCUGCCUUGUAGCGGGGGAUAACUAUUGGAAACGAUAGCUAAUACCGCAUAACAAUGGAUGACACAUGUCAUUUAUUUGAAAGGGGCAAUUGCUCCACUACAAGAUGGACCUGCGUUGUAUUAGCUAGUAGGUGAGGUAACGGCUCACCUAGGCGACGAUACAUAGCCGACCUGAGAGGGUGAUCGGCCACACUGGGACUGAGACACGGCCCAGACUCCUACGGGAGGCAGCAGUAGGGAAUUUUCGGCAAUGGGGGAAACCCUGACCGAGCAACGCCGCGUGAAGGAAGAAGUAAUUCGUUAUGUAAACUUCUGUCAUAGAGGAAGAACGGUGGAUAUAGGGAAUGAUAUCCAAGUGACGGUACUCUAUAAGAAAGCCACGGCUAACUACGUGCCAGCAGCCGCGGUAAUACGUAGGUGGCGAGCGUUAUCCGGAAUUAUUGGGCGUAAAGAGGGAGCAGGCGGCACUAAGGGUCUGUGGUGAAAGAUCGAAGCUUAACUUCGGUAAGCCAUGGAAACCGUAGAGCUAGAGUGUGUGAGAGGAUCGUGGAAUUCCAUGUGUAGCGGUGAAAUGCGUAGAUAUAUGGAGGAACACCAGUGGCGAAGGCGACGAUCUGGCGCAUAACUGACGCUCAGUCCCGAAAGCGUGGGGAGCAAAUAGGAUUAGAUACCCUAGUAGUCCACGCCGUAAACGAUGAGUACUAAGUGUUGGGAGUCAAAUCUCAGUGCUGCAGUUAACGCAAUAAGUACUCCGCCUGAGUAGUACGUUCGCAAGAAUGAAACUCAAAGGAAUUGACGGGGGCCCGCACAAGCGGUGGAGCAUGUGGUUUAAUUCGAAGCAACGCGAAGAACCUUACCAAGUCUUGACAUCCCGCUGACCGGACAGUAAUGUGUCCUUUUCUUCGGAACACCGGUGACAGGUGGUGCAUGGUUGUCGUCAGCUCGUGUCGUGAGAUGUUGGGUUAAGUCC
rnacentral:rRNA from 1 species